AUAUGAAAUGGUGACUUAAGGAAUGUGAGGCUUCAACGUAUAUUAGAACUUUUCAAAUUUGUACUUAACAACGUUGGAGUCUAACGCAGACUGUGCUUUAGCUAUUUUAUCUAAGCGACGGAAGUGGAGAUUUGACGAAUAGAUGCACACACUAGGAUCAAGCUAAAUUAUUUUUAUGAUACUAAAACAAGGAUUUAAGAGAACUACCACUUGGACGUAUUACAGAAAUAGCUUUUUAUAUCAUAGCGAAGUCACAUAUGAAAAGUUUUCGAAAAAAUGAAUUAACGGUUCUUUGAAAAGAAUUCAAUUUUAAAACUUUAACGAUCAUGCAUAAUGUAUACAAUAAUUAUAACUUUAAAUAAAGCUACAUUUGAUAACAAUGA
rnacentral:lncRNA from 1 species